rnacentral:sRNA from 1 species
GUUGCCUUCCGGGGGAGAGCCUGGAAGCGGCCGGGCGUGGCCUAGCUGAGCCGGAAGUCCGGAUGCUUCGCCAGAGCCUGUGCCUCUGGAAAGGUUCUCCAAGAAGCCUCUCUUCACCUCCUCCUUCCCUAUGAGUUCUCAUACCACACCGGAGAUCUGGCAUGGAGGAGUGGCAAAUAUUUGCAAUAGGCAAAAGAGAUGACUCAGUCAAGUGCUGCACAUCAAGGACCUGAGUUCAAAUCGCCAGAACACAGUAAAAGGCAAGUGCGACAUAACUCCUGUAAUCUCUGCAGUAAGAGUAGUAGGAUGGCUGAAACUCCUUGGCCAGCUAAGCUAGCCUAACCAAAUCAGCGAGAUGGUGGACCCUGGGCCUUUAUACUAACAAAUGCACCCAACACACAUCAAAGUUUUAAUAUAAGGCAUAAUAAAAACACUGUGUAGCUAGUUGAUUGCUUUAUAUAAAUAUUAAUGUUUAGUCAUAAUACCUGUACUAUUGAGGCAGGUAAGUAAUUUUAUUUACAGCUAUGACUGAGCCACAGACUGUUCAAUAGUAUACCUGUGGAAUAUGGGCUCAUUGCAUUGGAUAAUAACCUGAAAUCAUUCACUUUCAAAUUUAAGCAAUAAACUUUGACUGGAUCUAUACACAGAGGCCCCACUAAAACAAAAUGAGUCUUCGCCAGAAUUAAAAGCUUCAGGGGAAGAGAGAUGAAUUACAUUGUACCAGAGUUUUCCUUAGGACCUUUGCCUUGAGUUCCUUCUACUUUGUAUUUAAUAAAAAGAGAAACAAAACAUACCAAGAAACUUUAUUCUCAUUGGUUGAUUGUUCAUAGAAACUGACUACAUGGAUUUCCAGUCUUUUCACCCCAACUUUGAAAUGCUACAAAUCCAAUGUAACAGACAAGGAUCUCUGCAGCUGGUCUCUUUCCAUCCUCUGCCAUUUUGUAACAUCUCCAGGUCCUCUCUAUGUCUGGAUCAGUUUGGUUUUUGAAAGAGAGGUGGCCUGGAACUAGUGGCAGUCCUCCUGCCUCAACCUCCCAAAUAUUCUGACUAUAGAAAUACAGUAUAACACCCAGCUGAGACUGCAGGUUGUUUCAUCCACUGUGGGCCUGCUGUCUAGACUGAGACAGACUAUGAAGUUCAGGGUCCUCUGAACCCAACCACAACAGCCUUGGCCUCCCUGGAAAGCCUCCAUAUAAGCUGAGAUGAAGCCAGCAGCAGACAUCGUCAGGAAGUCAGCUUGUAUAACCAUCGUUCUGUUCACUUGCAGAAGAGCAGUAAGAAGCUUCACCACUAAGGAAACAGCAGACUUUCCACCACUGUCAACAUCACACAGAUCUUUGAUGAAGCAAAGAAACAUCACUGCUGCUAACAUAGUGCUAGCUGCCAUCGCUGUGGACAGCAAACUGUCACGAAGUUUGGAGGUAAAAAGAGCUCAUGAAGCAGCCAACAAUCAUGUAGAUCAAAGGAAGAAAUGAAAAUAUGGAACAACCUUUCUCUUGGGGACCAGAUAGGAGUAUAAUUAUUGUACAUUAUGUUUUAUAGAACAAAAAAAAGGGAGAGAAGGAUGGGAGCUGUAAACAGCAGCAAAUUCACAACCUAAGACUUGUUCUUGCUUUAUGUUCAGAACUCAGUAUUGUUGAUCAUGUUGAUACAAUUCAGUAAGUUCCUAUAGGGUUAGGAAACCUUGCUCAAAUAAGUCUUUCUCCUGAUUCAGGCUGGUAAGAAGUCAUUGUGGUGCAAGCAAGCAUAGGGAAUAACUUAUCCUGGACUCUACUACAUGUGGGCUAUGUGACACAGCGCUGCUAACAAGGCAUCUAGCAACCUAGGACUCUAACCUGCAUGUAAACCCCACUUCAAAGCACCGAAUUAGUUACUCCUUGCUAACAACUUGGUGACGACUUCCAUUUUGUGGUUUGUGUCUUAGUUAUUUUUCUAUUGCUGUGGGAAGACACUAUGACCAAGCAAACUUAUAGGGGGAAAAGGUUUAUUUGGGGCUUCCUUCCGUUUCCAAGGAUUACUCCAUGACCAGCAUAGUGGAGAGUGUGGCAGCAGGCAGGCAGGCUUGGUACUGGAGCAAUAGCUAAGGACUUACAUGUUGAGACAAUAACUCUGAGGAGAAA